CCUGAUGCCGGCGCUUAGGCGCAGAAGUCACUGAGUUCCGUUUCCAAGAAAAACUGAGCUGCGAUGAAGCGUGCCGUCCGUACCGUAAACCGACACCGGUAGAUGGGUAGAGAAUACCAAGGUGAACGGGAGAACCUUCGUUAAGGAACUAGGCAAAAUAACUCCGUAACUUCGGGAGAAGGAGUGCUGGCGCAAGCCAGCCGCAGUGAAAUGGCUCUGGCGACUGUUUAACAAAAACACAGGUCUCUGCUAACCCGCUAGGGGAAGUAUAGGGGCUGACGCCUGCCCAGUGUCGGAAGGUUAAAGAGAGAGGUCAACCGCAAGGUGAAGCUUUGAACUGAAGCCCCGAUGAACGGCGGCGGUAACUAUAACCGUCCUAAGGUAGCGAAAUUCCUUGUCGGGUAAGUUCCGACCCGCACGAAUGGCGUAACGAUCAGAGCACUGUCUCAACGAGGGACCCGGUGAAAUUGAAGUACGUGUGAAGAUGCGCGUUACCCGCAGCUGGACAAAAAGACCCCGUGGAGCUUUACUGUAGUUUGCCAUUGCGUUAGGGCAUGGUCUGUGUAGGAUAGCUGGGAGGCGGAGAACCUGGUGCGCUAGCAUCGGGGGAGCCAACGGUGAAAUACCAGCCUGACGAUGCUUUGGCCCUAACCUGUGACCGUGAAACCGGCAUGGGGACCGUGGCAGAUGGGCAGUUUGACUGGGGCGGUCGCCUCCGAAAGAGUAACGGAGGCGCUCAAAGGUUGGCUUAGGUGGAAUGGCAACCCACCGGGACGUGUAAUGGCACAAGCCAGCUUGACUGCGAGGCAGACACGCCGAGCAGAGACGAAAGUCGGACAUAGUGAUCCUACAGCGCUAAGUGGAAAGGCUGUAGCUUAACGGAUAAAAGCUACCCCGGGGAUAACAGGCUAGUCUUGCCCAAGAGUUCACAUCGACGGCAAGGCUCGGCACCUCGAUGUCGGCUCAUCGCAUCCUGGGGCUGGAUAAGGUCCCAAGGGUUGGGCUGUUCGCCCAUUAAAGCGGUACGUGAGCUGGGUUCAGACCGUCGUGAGACAGGUCGGUCUCUAUCCGCUGUGGGCGUGAGAAGGUUGAGGGGAGCUGGCUCUAGUACGAGAGGACCGAGCUGGACGAAGCGCUGGUGUGUCGAUUGUCGUGCCAACGGCAGUGUCGAGUAGCCACCUUCGGGACGGAGAACCGCUGAAAGCAUCUAAGCGGGAAACCGACCUCAAGAUGAGCCUUCUG
rnacentral:rRNA from 1 species